rnacentral:rRNA from 1 species
AUGAGAGCCGCCGUCAGGCCCGAACUAAUGAUGAUGAUGAACCACCUUCUGACUUACAAAACACUCCUUGAGAACGCCAGAAUGAGGUUUCUUUCACCUUUGUCCUUUGUUUUUAUCCGUGAAUCUAUUUCCUCUUAUGCUUUAACUUUAUUUUACUUUUGCAUGAGGUUUCUCGCUCUUCUGGCGACUCAUCUUCCGGCUUUCAAGACUACCCCUGGUGGUCAAGCGAAGUCUAAGAAAGCUAAGGUUAUUAAACCGGCAGAAGACCCAAGAAAUCCUGCACUUGAACCGGCAAUAUCAACUCCUCCAGUUCAAUCUGAAGUGCCAGAAGAUCCGGCUGUCCAUGCCCAAUUGGACCCUCCUAAGCCGCCAGCUGAUGAAACCAUUGUUGAUUCCUCCACCGUCAGACCAUUUGGUUCAGCUAACCCGCCAGCGUCUUCUGACCAUGACGUUCUGAUCACUGGCAGCAGAUUUUGUUGUGCCGGGUAA